rnacentral:lncRNA from 1 species
GAGCGUGGCACUCCGAGUCACCUCAAUUCCAAUUGUUAGAAUUUUCAUAUAUUGUGGCCCAAUUAGUCAUAUUUAAAUUAAAAUUUGCUAUAGAUAAAGGUAAAUCCUAACAGAUUUAGAACUACUUGAUAUGGUAUGUUUUAUCCAUAUUCCAUCUAUUUUAAAUUUAAAUAGAAUCCUAAUCAGACUUUGAUGGGAAGUCGAUAUGAACUCUAUAUAAAGGGGUAUAGGUCCUGCCACCUUCUCAUACGCAUUUCGGUGAAGAAUUACCAUCUGUUCCACACCAUACGGUAGAGUGCAUGAGAUAAGGGGAGAAAUCAAAUCACCCAAGUUCGGUUCGUGACUUUCAGAUCAUAGCCGGACUUCAUGCUUCCGCAAGAUUGAUCAAGAAUUUCUUUUCUAUGGCGCUCUGUGAGUUAUCUUAUUUUAUUUUGAUCCUGGAUUUUGGUAUGUAUUUAAUUUUCAUCUUAUUUUACAUACCUAUAAAAAUCUAUCAAUUGGUAUCAGAGCCAUUUAACGAUAAGUUAUAUA